rnacentral:tRNA from 1 species
ACUUAAGUAGUUUAAUUAAAAUACUGAUUUGUGGUGUCGGUGAUGUAUUUCGUACCUUGGGUU